GGUAUUUAGCUCAGUGUUACAGCACUUGCCUUGCAAGCAUGAGGUUCUGAGUUCGAUUCCCAGUACCA
rnacentral:tRNA from 1 species